rnacentral:rRNA from 1 species
CAUUGAUACUAUUUAUCUUGAAUAUUGUGGAGGUAAGCGGAAUAUGUCAUGUAGCGGUGAAAUGCUUAGAUAUGACAUAGAACACCCAUUGCGAAGGCAGCUUACUACGCAUAUAUUGACGCUGAGGCACGAAAGCGUGGGGAUCAAACAGGAUUAGAUACCCUGGUAGUCCACGCCCUAAACGAUGGAUACUCGACAUACGCGAUACACUGUGUGUGUCUGAGCGAAAGCAUUAAGUAUCCCACCUGGGAAGUACGUUCGCAAGAAUGAAACUCAAAGGAAUUGGCGGGGGUCCGCACAAGCGGUGGAGUAUGUGGUUUAAUUCGAUGAUACGCGAGGAACCUUACCUGGGCUAGAAUGCUGGGAGACCGCUAGUGAAAGCUAGUUUUGUAGCAAUACACUGCCAGUAAGGUGCUGCAUGGCCGUCGUCAGCUCGUGCCGUGAGGUGUUGGGUUAAGUCCCGCAACGAGCGCAACCCCUAUCUUUAGUUGCCAACAGGUAAUGCUGGGAACUCUAAAGAAACUGCCGCCGUAAGGUGUGAGGAAGGAGGGGAUGAUGUCAGGUCAUCAUGGCCUUUAUGCCCAGGGCUACACACGUACUACAAUGGGGAAGACAAAGGGCUGCAACAUAGCGAUAUGAAGCCAAUCCCAAAAACUUCCUCUCAGUUCAGAUUGCAGGCUGCAACUCGCCUGCAUGAAGCUGGAAUCGCUAGUAAUCGUAUAUCAGCAAUGAUACGGUGAAUACGUUCCCGGACCUUGCACACACCGCCCGUCAAGCCAUGGGAGUCGGGUGUACCUAAAGUCGGUAACCGUA